ACUAUAUGUAGUGUUCGAGGUUCUUCAGAUUCGCAAGGAUCGGAAGCUAAGACGGGAAUACGGUGCGCGACGUCCAUGAUGGGCCGAGCAAUGCCGGAGCUGCCCCCGCAACUGUAAGCGGCGAGCAUUCGUUCGACAAAGCCACUGAAGUCUUUGAUUUCGGGAAGGCGAGAAUGAGCGCUAUGACCUGCAAGCCAGGAGACCUGCCUCGAUCAGCAACGUCCA
rnacentral:ncRNA from 1 species